GCCGCCCCCGGCCGCAGCGCCGCCCCCGGCCCGCCCGCCCGGGGCUCUCGGGGCUCUCGGGGAGCGGGGCCGGUGCGGAGCGCGAUGGUCCCGGCGGGGCCGCCCCGCUCCUGCCUCCUGCUGACGGCCGCGCUGCUGCCGCUGCUGCCGGUACCGGCACCGGGGGCAACCCCGGGGCCCCCCGCGCUCACCGACGCCGAGAUCGAGGAGUUUCUGCGGGGCUUCCUUGGACCCGGGGACGGCGGGGACCGGGACGGGGACCGGGACGGGGACGGUACCGAGCUGGGCUUCGGCACCGACCUCGGCACCGGCGCCGGCACGGGUGAGUGAUCGGCGCCAGGAUCCCCGGGAGCGGGGCUGGCGGGAUGCGGCUUUCCCCAGCUCGGCCCCGCCACGCUCACCCUGCCCGGGGUGCUGCUCCCCCUCCUGUCCCCUCAGGCUCUCCGGGGUCGCUGCCGGAGCCUGAGAAACCCAGGAAGGGGAAGAAGGAAAAACCCCCCAAGAAGCCCAAGGAGAGACCCCGGGGCCCCAAGAAGGAUAAGGACAAGGUCAAGGACAAGGACCGGGGCAAGAACAAACCCCCCAAGAAAUCCAAGGAGAAGCCACCAAAAGGCUCAGAAAACCCGUCAAAAGGCUCAGAAAAAAUCCCAAAAGGCUCUGAAAAAACCCCAAAAGGCUCCAAAAAGACCAAGGAGAAGCCACCCAAGGAGAAGCCACCCAAGGCCGCCAAACCCUCUGGCAAGAAGCCACCAGUGCCACCAAGCCCCCCCACUGUCCACCAGCCCUCACAGGGCAAGGAGGAUGAAGAGAUCCCAGAGUUCCUGGAGCCUUCUCACAAGGAGGAGGAGGAUGGAGUUGUCCGAGGAGAGCUGGAAGAGCCACCAAAUGAGCCGGGCCGGGAGGACUGGAACCCUGAGCCCCAGCCAGAGGUCCCCGAGGAGCCAGAGCCCCCGACCCUGGACUACAACGAGCAGCUGGAGCGGGAGGACUACGAGGACUUCGAGUUCGUCCGGCGGCAGCAGAAGCCCCCCAAGCCCCCGGCCAGGAGGAGACCGGAGCGGGUCUGGCCCCAGCCCGAGGAGACGCGUACGUGGGAGGGGGACACGGGGGGCUGGCACCGCUCAGGGUGAGGUUGGGGGCAGCCCCAGCCUCGGGAACCCAGGGAAGCAG
rnacentral:lncRNA from 1 species